UACGUAGGGACCAAGCGUUGUUCGGAUUUACUGGGCGUAAAGGGUGCGUAGGCGGCGUGUCAAGUCAAUUGUGAAAUCUCCGGGCUUAACUCGGAAUGGUCAGGUGAUACUGCUUUGCUAGAGUGCAGAAGGGGCAAUCGGAAUUCUUGGUGUAGCGGUGAAAUGCGUAGAUAUCAAGAGGAACACCUGAGGUGAAGACGGGUUGCUGGGCUGACACUGACGCUGAGGCGCGAAAGCUAGGGGAGCAAACGGG
rnacentral:rRNA from 1 species